UACAGAGGGUGCGAGCGUUAAUCGGAAUUACUGGGCGUAAAGCGUGCGUCGCCGGUUCUUUAAGUCGGGUGUGAAAGCCCCGGGCUCAACCUGGGAAUUGCAUUCGAGACUGAAUAGCUAGGGUACGGUAGAGGGAAGUGGAAUUUCCGGUGUAGCGGUGAAAUGCGUAGAUAUCGGAAGGAACAUCAGUGGCGAAAGCGACUUCCUGGACCAGUACCGACGUUCAGGCACGAAAGCGUGGGGAGCAAACAGG
rnacentral:rRNA from 1 species